rnacentral:rRNA from 1 species
GAUGAACGCUGGCGGCGUGCCUAAUACAUGCAAGUCGAGCGAACGGACGAGAAGCUUGCUUCGCUGAUGUUAGGGGCGGACGGGUGAGUAACACGUGUAUAACCUACCUAUAAGACGGGGAUAACUACGGGAAACCGGAGCUAAUACCGGAUAAUAUUUUGAACCGCAUGGUGCAAAAGUGAAAGACGGUCUUGCUGUCUCUUAUAGAGGGUUCCGCGCUGCAUUAGCUAGUUGGUAAGGUAACGGCUUACCAAGGCAACGAUGCAUAGCCGACCUGAGAGAGUGAUCGGCCACCCUGGAACUUGGCCACGGUCCAGGCUCCUGCGGGAGGCCGCAGUAGGGAAUCUUCCGCAGUGGGCGGAAGCCUGACAGAGCGACGCCGCGUGAGUGGUGGAAGUCUUCGGAUCGUAAAGCUCUGUUAUUAGGGAAGAACAUAUGUGUACUUAACUGUGCACAUCUUGACGGUAACUAGUAAGAAAGCCCCGGCUAACUACGUG